ACUGCACGAAGGCCGCGUCCUCGCUGCCCAGCCAGGCGGCCAGCAGGCUCUGCACCGUCAGCCCCGCCGAGCGCACCUCGUCGGGCGGGAAGACGAAGCAGACGGCGAACACCAGAGUGUUUUCUUCAGAGAAUCAUCAAGGCAGGGAUGCAAGACCUUAAAAGGCCUUAUUGAAGAUACCUUCGUACAAUCCCGAACACAGUGAAGGGAAAGGCCUGACUGGGGUCUCUGGUUACUACCGAAGUACAAAUAAUAACCAAUAGCCGCAAGAAUCGCCAUUUCUCUUAGAAUGCAACAAAAUCCCUGCUUGCGCCCUGUAAUAACCAUAAACUGACAUAUUUGUCCCUUUCACAGAAAGGGGAAAUUGCAUAAUUAGAAAAGCACUGCAGAGAAAGCAACAUGCCAUGUUACACGCUGCUACUGAUGGGGAGCUAAGUCAAUAGGAAAUGCCGCCCCCGGAAUGUGAACUCUUAUGCUGGCAGACGGCUAAUGUGUUACUGUUGUUGAUGGAGACCGGGAAUUCAUGGUGGUUUAGCGACUCUUAAGUAAGACAGUUGCAACAGUAAAAUUAUGCUUGGAUUAUGGGCAUCUUGUUUCAUUCUAAAAGGCACAACUGUUAGCAAGUUUAUUGAUUUAACAAUCAUUUCAUUGUUGCUGUCUCGUGACUCAACAGUAAAGACUUCUAAUUUGUGGAAUGGACUGUGAAGUUCCAUAAUAAAAAUGAGGCUGUGAAGCAGCAGGAUUUC